rnacentral:rRNA from 1 species
UACGGAGGGGGCUAGCGUUGUUCGGAAUUACUGGGCGUAAAGCGCACGUAGGCGGCUAUUCAAGUCAGAGGUGAAAGCCUGGAGCUCAACUCCAGAACUGCCUUUGAAACUAGAUAGCUAGAAUCAUGGAGAGGUGAGUGGAAUUCCGAGUGUAGAGGUGAAAUUCGUAGAGAUGUGGAGGAACACCUGUGGCGAAGGCGCCUUGCUGGCCGAUUUCUGACGCUGAGGCGCGAAAGCGUGGGGAGCAAACAGG